rnacentral:rRNA from 1 species
UACGGAGGGUGCAAGCGUUAUCCGGAUUCACUGGGUUUAAAGGGAGCGCAGGCGGACUUGUAAGUCAGUGGUGAAAUACCUGAGCUUAACUCGGGAACUGCCAUUGAUACUAUAGGUCUUGAAUGUUGUUGAGGUUUGCGGAAUGGGUCAUGUAGCGGUGAAAUGCAUAGAUAUGACCCGGAAAACCUAUUGCGAAGGCAGCAGGCUAAACAAAUAUUGACGCUGAGGCUCGAAAGCGUGGGGAUCAAACAGGAUUAGAUACCCUGGUAGUCCACGCCCUAAACGAUGAUUACUCGACAUACGCGAUACACAGUGUGUGUCUGAGCGAAAGCAUUAAGUAAUCCACCUGGGAAGUACGACCGCAAGGUUGAA